CACAUACAAAAUUCUAUUAGGCAAUUCAUGACAAGCCUUACUCCCUAAAUGGAAGAUGGACAGAGAAGUUCGUCAACCCAAAAGGUCCUCACAGUUCAAGAUAGUCCUGCAUAACAUCAUUCAAAGCGGAAAACUCGAAAUAUGGCACACACCUAUUCAAGUCCGACGCCGUACUCCUCAACGUUCCGACCAGUGACACUUGGCAUCAUAUGGCUGGAAAAGGGGUGGCCAGAUUUUCUUAAGUAACUUACUCCUCAAGGUUCCAAGCCGGAUUUUCUUAAAUAACUUACUCCUCAAGGAUUUUCUUAAAUAACACCGUACUCCUCGAGGUUUUAAUCGUA